rnacentral:rRNA from 1 species
UACGGGGGGGGCAAGCGUUGUUCGGAAUUACUGGGCGUAAAGGGCUCGUAGGCGGCCAACUAAGUCGGACGUGAAAUCCCUCGGCUUAACCGGGGAACUGCGUCUGAUACUGGAUGGCUUGAGUUUGGGAGAGGGAUGCGGAAUUCCAGGUGUAGCGGUGAAAUGCGUAGAUAUCUGGAGGAACACCGGUGGCGAAGGCGGCAUCCUGGACCAACACUGACACUGAGGAGCGAAAGCCAGGGGAGCAAACGGG